GGAGGCGUGGCUGAGUGGUUUAAAGCACUCGCUUCGAAAGUGAGCAAACCGCAAGGUUUCGUGGGUUCAAAUCCUACCGCCUCCGCCA
rnacentral:tRNA from 1 species